rnacentral:lncRNA from 1 species
UAGAUCUGUGCAGAUUCCCUCACUCUCUCAAAAAAAAAAAAAAACCGUGCAGAUUCUGUCUCGGUCGCUCCUCUUCGCGUUCCAGGAAUCCGCCGCUUCUCGGGAAGGCGGGCGCGGCGGCGCUUCCAUGGCUCGGCCAGCGCCAGAUCUAACGGCGUCUUCCUAGGGAAGAGCAAGAGCACCGGCAGAUGCCUCGUGGUCGGCUAUAUCGGCCGUCUGCGGCGGCCUCGGGGCUCACCAGAUCUGGCGGUGGGCGGCGACAUCGAGCUGAACGACCUCCAUCGGCGCCAAGCAGACCCUGCCGUAUCGUCGGCGUCGAGCAGCUUCGCCAACGACCUCCACUUCUGCGACCUCGGCGGCGGCUGCUCGUUCAUCCCCUGGUAUAUUUCUUUGCUCUUGGCAAGAACAAGAACACUCUUUGUUCUUGGCAUGAACAAGAUGAUCGUGCCUGCUGCAAUUCGUCAUUGUUGGAUCCGUGGCCAGCAGCAGCGGCGCCCGUCUGCUGGUGUAGGAGAGCUCUGUCCAUCUGUCAAAGGAGCAGCAAGGAAGAAUUGGAAUGGAGUAUUGCUUCUGUUCAAGAACUUCAGGCACAGGGAAAUAAACAAAUGGCAGCAGGAGUAUGUGUACAACAGUACAUGCAUUCAAGUGUACAGGCACAGCAGAAGGAAACUCUACAACAUCUACAGCACCUCCUCCACCUUCAUCCCCAGCAAUGUUGACUCCAGCCUCGUCAGCUAUGGCUUCGCCUCCUCGAAGUUCGUCACCGUCUUCAGGAGGAGGAGCGUUGAGGUCAAAGAGAUGAAUCGCCGCCAUGGAGCUUGA